AAGCGCUUAUGACCAGACUUGGACCGGUUGAUCAUCCAUCGUUCUCGGUGGUGCACUCUGCCGGUUCAGGCCAGCAUCAGUUUGUCCCGGGGGAUAAAGGCUUUGGGAAUGUGGCUCCUCCGGGAGUGUUAUAGCCCACUGUGUAAUACCCUGGGAUAGACUGAGGUUCGCGCUCCGCAAGGAUGCUGGCGUAAUGGUCAUCAG
rnacentral:rRNA from 1 species